rnacentral:rRNA from 1 species
UACGUAGGGUGCAAGCGUUGUCCGGAAUUAUUGGGUGUAAAAGAGCUCGUAGGCGGUCUGUCGCGUCUGCUGUGAAAACUCAGGGCUUAACCCUGAGCUUGCAGUGGGUACGGGCAGACUAGAGUGCGGUAGGGGGAGACUGGAAUUCCUGGUGUAGCGGUGAAAUGCGCAGAUAUCAGGAGGGAACACCGGUGGCGAAAGGGCGGGGUCUCUGGGG